CCCUGCUUCCAGGAAAAGCCUCUAAGCAUCAGGUAACAUCAAAUCGUACCCCAAACCGACACAGGUGGUCAGGUAGAGAAUACCAAGGCGCUUGAGAGAACUCGGGUGAAGGAACUAGGCAAAAUGGUGCCGUAACUUCGGGAGAAGGCACGCUGACAUGUAGGUGAAGCCCCUGCGGGUGGAGCUGAAGUCAGUCGAAGAUACCAGCUGGCUGCAACUGUUUAUUAAAAACACAGCACUGUGCAAACACGAAAGUGGACGUAUACGGUGUGACGCCUGCCCGGUGCCGGAAGGUUAAUUGAUGGGGUUAUCGCAAGAGAAGCUCCUGAUCGAAGCCCCGGUAAACGGCGGCCGUAACUAUAACGGUCCUAAGGUAGCGAAAUUCCUUGUCGGGUAAGUUCCGACCUGCACGAAUGGCGUAAUGAUGGCCAGGCUGUCUCCACCCGAGACUCAGUGAAAUUGAACUCGCUGUGAAGAUGCAGUGUACCCGCGGCAAGACGGAAAGACCCCGUGAACCUUUACUACAGCUUGACACUGAACAUUGAGCCUUGAUGUGUAGGAUAGGUGGGAGGCUUUGAAGCGUGGACGCCAGUCUGCGUGGAGCCGACCUUGAAAUACCACCCUUUAAUGUUUGAUGUUCUAACCUGGCGCCAUAAUCUGGCGUGGGGACAGUGUCUGGUGGGUAGUUUGACUGGGGCGGUCUCCUCCCAAAGUGUAACGGAGGAGCACGAAGGUCAGCUAAUCCUGGUCGGACAUCAGGAGGUUAGUGCAAUGGCAUAAGCUGGCUUGACUGCGAGAGUGACGGCUCGAGCAGGUGCGAAAGCAGGUCAUAGUGAUCCGGUGGUUCUGUAUGGAAGGGCCAUCGCUCAACGGAUAAAAGGUACUCCGGGGAUAACAGGCUGAUACCGCCCAAGAGUUCAUAUCGACGGCGGUGUUUGGCACCUCGAUGUCGGCUCAUCACAUCCUGGGGCUGAAGUAGGUCCCAAGGGUAUGGCUGUUCGCCAUUUAAAGUGGUACGCGAGCUGGGUUUAGAACGUCGUGAGACAGUUCGGUCCCUAUCUGCCGUGGGCGCUGGAGAAUUGAGGGGGGCUGCUCCCAGUACGAGAGGACCGGAGUGGACGCAUCACUGGUGUUCGGGUUGUCAUGCCAAUGGCACUGCCCGGUAGCUAAAUGCGGAAGAGAUAAGUGCUGAAAGCAUCUAAGCACGAAACUUGCCCCGAGAUGAGUUCUCCCUGAGACUAUAAGUCUCCUGAAGGAACGUUGAAGACGACGACGUUGAUAGGCCGGGUGUGUAAGCGCAGCGAUGCGUUGAGCUAACCGGUACUAAUGAACCGUGAGGCUUAACCUUA
rnacentral:rRNA from 1 species